rnacentral:rRNA from 1 species
GACAGAGGGUGCAAACGUUGCUCGGAAUUACUGGGCGUAAAGCGCGUGUAGGCGGGUCGGUAUGUCGGACGUGAAAUCCCUAGGCUCAACCUAGGAACUGCGCUCGAAACUGCCGGUCUUGAGUGGUGGAGAGGGAAGUGGAAUUCCUGGUGUAGAGGUGAAAUUCGUAGAUAUCAGGAGGAACACCAGUGGCGAAGGCGGCUUCCUGGACGACCAACUGACGCUGAGACGCGAAAGCGUGGGGAGCAAACAGG